UACGGAGGGUGCAAGCGUUAAUCGGAAUUACUGGGCGUAAAGCGCACGUAGGUGGUUUCUAAGUCAGCUGUGAAACCCCGGGCUCAACCUGGGAAUUGCGGUUGAAACUGGCGAACUAGAAUCUGGCAGAGGGGGGUGGAAUUCCACGUGUAGCAGGUGAAAUGCGUAGAGAUGUGGAGGAACACCGAUGGCGAAGGCAGCCCCCUGGGCUAAGAUUGACGCUCAGGCACGAAAGCGUGGGAGC
rnacentral:rRNA from 1 species